UACGUAGGGUGCAAGCGUUGUCCGGAAUUAUUGGGCGUAAAGAGCUCGUAGGCGGUCUGUCGCGUCGGCUGUGAAAACCCGGGGCUCAACUCCGGGCCUGCAGUCGAUACGGGCAGACUAGAGUGUGGUAGGGGAGACUGGAAUUCCUGGUGUAGCGGUGAAAUGCGCAGAUAUCAGGAGGAACACCGGUGGCGAAGGCGGUUCUCUGGGAAUGACCUGACGCUGAGGAGCGAAAGUGUGGGGAGCGAACAGG
rnacentral:rRNA from 1 species